rnacentral:rRNA from 1 species
UACGUAGGGUGCGAGCGUUAAUCGGAAUUACUGGGCGUAAAGCGUGCGCAGGCGGUUCGCUGUGUCCGAUGUGAAAGCCCCGGGCUCAACCUGGGAAUGGCCAUGGAAACUGGCGAACUGGAGUGUGGCAGAGGGGGGUGGAAUUCCGCGUGUAGCAGUGAAAUGCGUAGAGAUGCGGAGGAACACCGAUGGCGAAGGCAGCCCCCUGGGCUAGCACUGACGCUCAGGCACGAAAGCGUGGGGAGCAAACAGG